CGGCCGGGUCUCCUCGCCGCCGAAGCGCGCCCUCGGAGGCGGGGAGGGGGCGGUUGUGGCGCCCUGACGCAGUGACGGUCUCGGCGCGUGUGGCCGUUGUCAUCUCCCGAGUGGUUUCCAGAGCUGGGGCCCACCAGCCUCUCUCAUUCACUGAAAUCAAUGCUCUGAUUCCUUGAAAGUGAGUUUCAGGAGAAAAGCGCGUACCACCUGUCAUGCUGCCAGCUGUCUUCCAUGGGUAGAGCGCAUGCCAUACCACUUACUGAUACUGCUAUGUCAGCAACUCUCCUUAUGCACGUUUAGGAAAAUACGGGCUUGCUCCCUGCUGCAUAAUGUCUGUAUCAUUCUCUUUAUUCUUUAAAACCUUUUACAAUCUUUCCUGUUUUCAGCUAGCUUGUCUUUCUUUCAAUACAGAUCUGUAGGUCCUAGAAGGGCAAAUAAUCCAGCUGAGAGACUUUUUAAAAGAGUCCCAGACAGGUCUGGGACUAUUAAGUCUGGAGAAGGGAAGGCUCAAGGGGGAUGUUAUUAAUCUGUGUAAGUACCUGAAGGGAGGGUGCAAAGAGGACUGAGCCAGGCUCUUUCCAGUGGUGCCCAGUGACGGGACGAGAGGCAACGGGCACAAACUGAAACAGGAGGUUCCCUCCAAACAUCAGGAAGCACUUUUUCUGUGUGCGGUUGACCCAGCACUGCCCCACCAGUCUCCCACCCUGGAGAUACUCACAAGCCACCUGGACAUGGCCCUGAACAGCCAGCUCUAGGUGAAUCUGCUCGAACAGGGAGGUUGGAGCAGAUGACCUCCAGAGGACCCUUCCAGCCUCAACCAUUCUGUGAUUCUGGGAUUGGCUCCUUUUCAGUUUUGACUACUUCAGUGUAAGUUCUUAACACACGCCUUUCUCCCCUACACUGGAGUUACUUUUCUCAGCUUUACAUGCAAAUGUUUGAGGUGUUUGCUGGAGAAGGAUAAAUUCUUUCCAGUGACAGUUCAGUUCCUUUGACUUAAGAGUCCAAGUCUCUUUUUCUAAUGAUAGGGUGUACAAGCAGCAGACAUUGCAGUUGCCUCACUGUUGGGCUGCUUUCUGUGUGUGUGCAUGUGUGCUUGUACCUACACAUAUGUAGGUACUUCUUCUCUAGCAAUAAAAAAUAACUGGAUUUCACCUUCCUCACUAGGCUGUACCCGGCCUGGUAAGGACCUCCCCUUCACUUAAUGCUUUGAAUAAGCUGUACUGUUAUGUAGUAUCUCCCUAUUGUGACUGCAUUUAUGAUUCUGGACUGUCGGGCAGAUCCUGGAGCAAUGCCUGUGAUGUGACAGCAGCUUCUGCGAGUUUCCAUCCCUGCAGCCAUCCUGCCACAGCACCUCUUGACACCCACAUGCAGCAGGGACCUAUGGUUGCAGCCAAAGAAGUAAUGCUUUUGGAAUUUACAUCAACUCGUUUGACAAGAAGUUCUUCUUUAACUUGAUGGAACUGUGCAGAAUCCAGGAUCUGAGGGCCAGUUUCCAUUAUUGUCAUUCACUUAAGGGUACGGCUCCCAAUGGUAUGGAGUGGAUGACUUACAGAUCUCAUAUGCUCUGAACCCACGUCAGAUGUAAAGUUAAAGUAGAAUACACUUUCCCAUCAGGUUUUAUCAGUUUACAAAAAAAAUACAGAAUUGUUCCUUAGCACUAGUAAGUAGGCUUAUCUUUCCCAUUAUAUCUUUCCCAUUUCAGACUUUUCAGUUACAUCAGUAUCUGACAUAAUAUUGUUACUAAAGCAAUGGUUGCUUGCCAAUAAACAAUGU